AGAGUUUGAUCCUGGCUCAGGACGAACGCUGGCGGCGUGCUUAACACAUGCAAGUCGAACGGAAAGGCCCCUUUGGGGGUACUCGAGUGGCGAACGGGUGAGUAACACGUGAGUAACCUGCCCUUGACUUCGGGAUAACUUCAGGAAACUGGGGCUAAUACCGGAUAGGAAUCCUUGCUGCAUGGUGGGGGUUGGAAAGCUUCGGCGGUUUUGGAUGGACUCGCGGCUUAUCAGCUUGUUGGUGGGGUAGUGGCUUACCAAGGCUUUGACGGGUAGCCGGCCUGAGAGGGCGACCGGCCACAUUGGGACUGAGAUACGGCCCAGACUCCUACGGGAGGCAGCAGUGGGGAAUAUUGCACAAUGGGCGGAAGCCUGAUGCAGCAACGCCGCGUGCGGGAUGACGGCCUUCGGGUUGUAAACCGCUUUCAGCAGGGGCGAAGCUUUUGUGACGGUACCUGCAGAAGAAGCACCGGCUAACUACGUGCCAGCAGCCGCGGUGAUACGUAGGGUGCGAGCGUUGUCCGGAUUUAUUGGGCGUAAAGAGCUCGUAGGUGGUUGAUUGCGUCGGAAGUGAAAACUUGGGGCUUAACCCUGAGCGUGCUUUCGAUACGGGUUGACUUGAGGAAGGUAGGGGAGAAUGGAAUUCCUGGUGGAGCGGUGGAAUGCGCAGAUAUCAGGAGGAACACCAGUGGCGAAGGCGGUUCUCUGGACCUUUCCUGACGCUGAGGAGCGAAAGCGUGGGGAGCGAACAGGCUUAGAUACCCUGGUAGUCCACGCUGUAAACGGUGGGUACUAGGUGUGGGGUCCAUUCCACGGAUUCCGUGCCGUAGCUAACGCAUUAAGUACCCCGCCUGGGGAGUACGGCCGCAAGGCUAAAACUUAAAGGAAUUGACGG
rnacentral:rRNA from 1 species